CGGGGUGAGUAAUGUAUGGGGAUCUGCCUGAUGGCGGGGGAUAACUACUGGAAACGGUAGCUAAUACCGCAUAAUGUCUGCGGACCAAAGCGGGGGACCUCCGGGCCUCGCGCCAUCAGAUGAACCCAUAUGGGAUUAGCUAGUAGGUAAGGUAACGGCUUACCUAGGCGACGAUCCCUAGCUGGUCUGAGAGGAUGAUCAGCCACACUGGGACUGAGACACGGCCCAG
rnacentral:rRNA from 1 species